rnacentral:rRNA from 1 species
GAUGAACGCUAGCGGCAGGCCUAACACAUGCAAGUCGAGGGGUAACAUAGGAAAGCUUGCUUUUCUGAUGACGACCGGCGCACGGGUGCGUAACGCGUAUACAACCUACCUUUUAGCGGGGAAUAGCCCAGGGAAACUUGGAUUAAUGCCCCAUAGUAUAUAGACUUCUCCUGAAGUUUAUAUUAAACAUUUAUGGCUAUUAGAUGGGUAUGCGUCCUAUUAGUUAGUUGGUAAGGUAACGGCUUACCAAGGCAGCGAUAGGUAGGGGUCCUGAGAGGGAGAUCCCCACACUGGUACUGAGACACGGACCAGACUCCUACGGGAGGCAGCAGAGAGGAAUAUUGGACAAUGGGCGAGAGCCUGAUCCAGCCAUGCCGCGUGCAGGAAGACUGCCCUAUGGGUUGUAAACUGCUUUUACAGAGGAAGAACCACCCCCACGUGUGGGGGUUUGACGGUACUCUGCGAAUAAGGAUCGGCUAACUCCGUG